rnacentral:rRNA from 1 species
GACGAACGCUGGCGGCGUGCUUAACACAUGCAAGUCGAACGGAAAGGCCCUGCUUUUGUGGGGUGCUCGAGUGGCGAACGGGUGAGUAACACGUGAGUAACCUGCCCUUGACUUUGGGAUAACUUCAUGAAACUGGGGCUAAUACCGGAUAGGAGUUCCUGCUGCAUGGUGGGGGUGGGAAAGUUUCGGCGGUUGGGGAUGGACUCGCGGCUUAUCGGCUUGUUGGUUGGGUAGUGGCUUACCAAGGCUUUGCCGGGUAGCCGGCCUGAGAGGGUGACCGGCCACAUUGGGACUGAGAUACGGCACAGACUCCUACGGGAGGCAGCAGUGGGGAAUAUUGCACAAUGGGCGGAAGCAUGACGCAGUAACGCCGCGUGCGGGAUGACGGCCUUCGGGUUGUAAACCGCUUUCGCCUGUGACGAAGCGUGAGUGACGGUAAUGGGUAAAGAAGCACCGGCUAACUACGUG